rnacentral:RNase_P_RNA from 1 species
AAUGCAGGUCGUUCUAUCGCUCCGGUUUAUGCCGGGGAGGAAAGUCCGGGCAACGCAGAGCAUCCCGCUUCCUAACGGGAAGGCGCCGGGGAUUGAAGACCUGGGCGACGGAAAGUGCCACAGAAAAUAUACCGUCCCGGCUUGCCGGGAUAAGGGUGAAAACGUGAGGUAAGAGCUCACGAUCUUUCCGGGCGACCGGAAAUUUGGUAAACCCCGGGAGUUGAAAGACCAAAUAGGUCCCGGUCAUGGUGCUGCUCGUACUCGAUCCUGCUCAGGCAGGAUUAGCCGGGAUGGGUAGGUCGUUAGAAACAAACGGCAACGUUUGUUCCAGAUUAAUGAUAGAAGCCCGGGAAACCGGGAACAGAACCCGGCUUACAGACCUGCAUUUUUU